rnacentral:rRNA from 1 species
CAGUCGAACGGACUUAUACUGAAACCUAGUGAUUUAUGAGUUAGUGGCGGACGGGUGAGUAACGCGUGGAUAACCUGCCGUAUACCGGGGGAUAACACUUAGAAAUAGGUGCUAAUACCGCAUAAGCGCACGGCUCCGCAUGGGGCAGUGUGAAAAACUCCGGUGGUAUACGAUGGAUCCGCGUCUGAUUAGCUAGUUGGCGGGGUAACGGCUCACCAAGGCAGCGAUCAGUAGCCGGCCUGAGAGGGUGGACGGCCACAUUGGGACUGAGACACGGCCCAAACUCCUACGGGAGGCAGCAGUGGGGAAUAUUGCACAAUGGGGGAAACCCUGAUGCAGCGACGCCGCGUGAGUGAAGAAGUAUCUCGGUACGUAAAGCUCUAUCAGCAGGGAAGAUAAUGACGGUACCUGACCAAGAAGCCCCGGCUAACUACGUGCCAGCAGCCGCGGUAAUACGUAGGGGGCAAGCGUUAUCCGGAUUUACUGGGUGUAAAGGGAGCGUAGACGGCAGCACAAGUCUGGAGUGAAAUCCCGGGGCUUAACCCCGGAACUGCUUUGGAAACUGUGCGGCUGGAGUGCAGGAGGGGUAAGCGGAAUUCCUAGUGUAGCGGUGAAAUGCGUAGAUAUUAGGAGGAACACCGGUGGCGAAGGCGGCUUACUGGACUGUAACUGACGUUGAGGCUCGAAAGCGUGGGGAGCAAACAGGAUUAGAUACCCUGGUAGUCCACGCCGUANACGAUGAUUACUAGGUGUCGGGGGNCCA